rnacentral:rRNA from 1 species
AGAAUCAACGCUGGCGGCGUGCCUAACACAUGCAAGUCGAACGAGAAAGUGGAGCAAUCCAUGAGUAAAGUGGCGACCGGGUGAGUAACACGUGACCAAUCUACCCUUGAGUGGGGGAUAACCUCGGGAAACCGGGGCUAAUACCGCAUAAUAUCCUUGGAACGGAAGUACUGGGGAUCAAAGGAGCAAUUCGCUUAAGGAGGAGGUCGCGGCUGAUUAGCUAGUUGGCGGGGUAAUGGCCCACCAAGGCUUAGAUCGGUAGCCGGCCUGAGAGGGCGCACGGCCACACUGGAACUGAAACACGGUCCAGACUCCUACGGGAGGCAGCAGUGGGGAAUUUUGCGCAAUGGGGGAAACCCUGACGCAGCAACGCCGCGUGGAGGAUGAAGUCCCUUGGGACGUAAACUCCUUUCGACCCGGACGAUAAUGACGGUACGGGUGGAAGAAGCCCCGGCUAACUUCGUGCCAGCAGCCGC